rnacentral:rRNA from 1 species
GAUGAACGCUAGCGGCAGGCCUAAUACAUGCAAGUCGGACGGGAUUGAGAAGCUUGCUUUUCAUGAGAGUGGCGCACGGGUGCGUAACACGUAUGUAACCUACCUUAAUCAGGGGGAUAGCCUCUCGAAAGAGAGAUUAACACCGCAUAAAAUCAAUUUAUGGCACCAUAGACUGAUCAAAUAUCUAUAGGAAUAAGAUGGGCAUGCGGAACAUUAGCUAGUUGGUAAGGUAACGGCUUACCAAGGCUACGAUGUUUAGGGGAUCUGAGAGGAUGACCCCCCACACUGGUACUGAGACACGGACCAGACUCCUACGGGAGGCAGCAGUAAGGAAUAUUGGUCAAUGGGCGCAAGCCUGAACCAGCCAUGCCGCGUGCAGGAAGACGGCCCUACGGGUUGUAAACUGCUUUUGUACCGGAAUAAACCUUUGUAUGUAUACGAAGCUGAAUGUACGGUAAGAAUAAGGAUCGGCUAACUCCGUGCCAGCCGCCGCCGUAA